GCGAGAAUGGGCUACCGGCCGUGGUGAGUUGUGUGCCUGGGCAGGUCUUCAGCCCUGACGGACCCUCAAGAUUCCGGAAAGCGUACAAGCCAGAGCAGGACCGUGUGUCUCUUCAGCAACCCCUGGUGCGACUGAGAGGCGGUGCCUACAUCGGGGAGGGCCGCGUGGAGGUGCUCAAAAAUGGAGAAUGGGGGACCGUCUGCGACGACAAGUGGGACCUGGUGUCGGCCAGUGUGGUCUGCAGAGAGCUGGGCUUUGGGAGUGCCAAAGAGGCAGUCACUGGCUCCCGACUGGGGCAAGGGAUCGGACCCAUCCACCUCAACGAGAUCCAGUGCACAGGCAAUGAGAAGUCCAUUAUAGACUGCAAGUUCAAUGCCGAGUCUCAGGGCUGCAACCACGAGGAGGAUGCUGGUGUGAGAUGCAACACCCCUGCCAUGGGCUUGCAGAAGAAGCUGCGCCUGAACGGCGGCCGCAAUCCCUACGAGGGCCGAGUGGAGGUGCUGGUGGAGAGAAACGGGUCCCUUGUGUGGGGGAUGGUGUGUGGCCAAAACUGGGGCAUCGUGGAGGCCAUGGUGGUCUGCCGCCAGCUGGGCCUGGGAUUCGCCAGCAACGCCUUCCAG
rnacentral:lncRNA from 1 species